UACGAAGGGGGCUAGCGUUGCUCGGAAUCACUGGGCGUAAAGCGCUCGUAGGCGGCUUGCUAAGUCAGGGGUGAAAUCCUGGAGCUCAACUCCAGAACUGCCCUUGAUACUGGCGGUCUCGAGUCCGGGAGAGGUGAGUGGAACUGCGAGUGUAGAGGUGAAAUUCGUAGAUAUUCGCAAGAACACCAGUGGCGAAGGCGGCUCACUGGCCCGGUACUGACGCUGAGGUGCGAAAGCGUGGGGAGCAAACAGG
rnacentral:rRNA from 1 species